GGUCCGCGAGUACCAGAGAUGGACUCUUCAGUUCGGCUGGACCGGAGACAGGUGCUGCAUGGCUGUCGUCAGCUCGUGUCGUGAGAUGUUGGGUUAAGUCCCGCAACGAGCGCAACCCUCGCCCUUAGUUGCCAUCAUUUAGUUGGGCACUCUAAGGGGACUGCCGGUGAUAAGCCGCGAGGAAGGUGGGGAUGACGUCAAGUCCUCAUGGCCCUUACGGGCUGGGCUACACACGUGCUACAAUGGCGGUGACAGAGGGAUGCAAUGGAGCAAUCCUGCGCAAAUCUCAAAAAGCCGUCUCAGUUCGGAUUGAGGUCUGCAACUCGACCUCAUGAAGUUGGAAUCGCUAGUAAUCGCAGAUCAGUACGCUGCGGUGAAUGCGUUCCCGGGCCUUGUACACACCG
rnacentral:rRNA from 1 species